ACUCUGAGUCCUAAUAGUAACUGAUCUAUUUUCCCCAUUUUCUGCUUCCAUGAAGGAAUCCAGUUUACUCAGUAUAUACAUAGACUGUUAUUUAUUUUCAACUCCAGUGUAUUUAUGCAAUGAGCUACAGAGCAAAAGAAAGCCACCGUGUCCUCGCGGAAAAUGCAUUCUGUUCUUCUUCCACUGUGGGGAUGGGGCGAUCCACAGUUGUGCUGGCUUAAUCAUGCCUGCACCUGGCAAUCAAUCACUCUUCUGGAGACUGCAUCCCAUCAGGCAAUGGCACAAAGAGGACUCUUGCCAGGUAGAAUCAGGGGCAGAAAAUGCAAUUCCAGUCUCUGACAGUGAUUGAACAUAGAUAUGCCAGGGCUUUGCUUGGUAUCCCUGGACCCGAAACGUGCACAGAAAAGUUGCCAAAUGCAUGGCUCAUACUUCCUUCUGAACAAGACUGCCAUGCUAUUUUAAAGUUCUUACUACACAAUUUAUCCACAGCUAAUACAUGGAAAACAAAACUAGAGUUAUAUGUUCUCUGGGGGACGUAUAUUACAAUACGAGAGGUAGACUGCAAGUAGACAGUUCAGUGACAAAGAAUUGGGCCCUGAAUGCCCCACCCAGUGCAAGAGUUUUCUAAGAGGAGAAAAAUUUUCACAAAUUUAAGCCUCUCCUCCUGUAUGUACAUCAUCCCUCAACUGCCCACCUCAUUUUGUCCCCUCCCCAAAAGAAUUCAUGGAAACCUUGGUCCAAUCUAAAUAGAUCCUUCCUGGCUCACAAAAUCACAGGAUGUUGGCAUAGGAAAGCUCCAUGAGCAAUUUUACUUCAUCCUCUUGUAGGACUGGAAAACUAAGCACAAGAAUGGUGAAACUAUUUAUCCAGGUUCAAACAGCUAGUAAGUAUGGGAUUCGGGAUUAGAACCCCCACCUCACAUCUCCUGGUCCAGGGCCUUUCUCUUGUUUACAAACACUUUUCCAGUCAUAUUCAGAUUCCUGAAUGUUGGUAGACAUUUUAUCAACUGAAUCCAUUAGGUAUUAACUACAAUUCUAAAUUUUAACACUGCUGAAAAGACACGUAAGAGGCAACCUCAGUGCUCUGUUUGAAGAGAAGCAAAGAGUGCUCCUUAAUUCUGUUAUGAAUUGCAUCCUUUAUACUUGCAGAUCUUCCCCAAGCAAAGAUUUGUUGGCUGAUAAUCUGGAAUGAGAAGUAUUGCCUUGUCAAAAGAAGAAAUUUAUCAUGGAGAGAGGGAUAUAGUAAUUACAGAGCUACACAUAAAUGACAGUUGUGUGAAGACUGUUAAGGAAAUUGGAAAUCACUCCAAGGCCUAAUAGAUACACCUAACAUAAUCAUCUGGGAAUAAAAGGAACAGAAAGGGGGAUAUUUGCAGCUAUUACACUUGACAGCUAUAAGGGCCUCUGAGCUUCAUAAGAAUCCAGCAAGUUCGGCAGGGCUGGGGAAAGGAUCAUUUUCCUUGUUUUGCACACGAGGAAACACUCAGCUCUAAGUGGCCUACAUUAAGUCAUAUGGAUUUCAAGCUGCAGAGCCAAGACCAGAAUUCAGGCCUUCUGACUGCAAGCCAGUGCCUUUUCAGCUCUGCCAGAAAGCAAAUCAGCGGGGAGGCUGCUGAACAGCUUCUGAGUUGUCAGAAAGCAGAGUUUGCAAGUGGCUUCUGAAGCAGUACAGGUGACAGCAGUAGUUUCCAGGCAUUCUGGAGAUACCAGUGCUCUUUCAAACCAGUCAGUGAUUUAUCUACAAUGGUUAACCUGGAUAUUCAUAACAGACCAUUAAAUAUCAGUGCAAAGAGCACUGGGCCAUGCACUACGCAGUCACUCAAGUGCACAUGGAGGGGACUGCUUUGCAGCUGCCAUGCCACAAGCCAGAGCACUCUCAGGUAUGUCCAUGUCCCUGGGCCCUCAUGGGCCAAUUUACUGCAAAUAACCUCACUGUGCUUUAUAUGCAAAAUCCUAGGCUCUGGCCUCCAAGCUGACAGUAUUAGCUGAGUAAGGCAGAUAUUGAGAAUCAGUAGCAGAAGGAUCCUUA